rfam:Bacillus azotoformans LMG 9581 contig125, whole genome shotgun sequence.
ACGAUGUUCCGCUGUAAUAUCAGAUAUUUUUUACAUGAGCAUCUG